AUUGAACGCUGGCGGUAUGCUUAAGACAUGCAAGUCGUACGGGGGCCUUCGGGCUCCAGUGGCGGACGGGUGAGUAACACGUGGGAAUCUGCCUGUUAGUGGGGGACAGCCCAGCGAAAGCUGGAUUAAUACCGCAUACGCCCUACGGGGGAAAGCAGCAAUGCGCUAACAGAUGAGCCCGCGUAAGAUUAGCUUGUUGGUGGGGUAAAGGCCCACCAAGGCGACGAUCUUUAGCUGGUCUGAGAGGAUGGCCAGCCACAUCGGGACUGAGACACGGCCCGGACUCCUACGGGAGGCAGCAGUCGGGAAUAUUGGACAAUGGGCGCAAGCCUGAUCCAGCAAUACCGCGUGUGUGAAGAAGGCCCGCGGGUUGUAAAGCACUUUCAGUGGGGAAGAUAAUGACGUUACCCACAGAAGAAGCACCGGCUAACUCCGUG
rnacentral:rRNA from 1 species